rnacentral:rRNA from 1 species
CAAUAGCGUAUAUUAAAGUUGUUGCAGUUAAAAAGCUCGUAGUUGAAUUUUUGCUUGCCGCCGAUGUCGGAACUUCCGUACGUUCGGCGGCGUGCAUCCUUGGGUGGAACCUGUGUGGCAUUAGGUUGUCGUGCAGAGGAUGCUCAUCGUUUACUGUGAAAAAAUUAGAGUGUUCAAAGCAGGCUUACGCCGUUGAAUAUAUUAGCAUGGAAUAAUAAGAUAGGACCUUGGUACUAUUUUGUUGGUUUGCGCACCGAGGUAAUGAUUAACAGGGACAGUUGGGGGUAUUCGUAUUCCAUUGUCAGAGGUGAAAUUCUUGGAUUUCUGGAAGACGAACUACUGCGAAAGCAUUUACCAAGGAUGUUUUCAUUAA